rfam:Prunus persica cultivar Lovell chromosome G3, whole genome shotgun sequence.
AAGUCGUAUGUGAGAAUUGGAGGGGACUAAACAAAUUACAACCUCUCUACCUCGAUGAGAAACUCCUAAUUUGUUUAGUUUCCUCCAAUAUCUCAUCUCCGACAU